UCGUGCGAGAAAGUAUCUUCGGAUAUGAUUAGAGCGGCGGACGGGUGAGUAACGCGUAGGAAUCUACCUAGUAGAAGGGGGAUAGCCCGAGGAAACUCGGAUUAAUACCGUAUACCUCCUUCGGGAGAAAGAAGGCCUCUCUUUGAAGCUUUCGCUACUAGAUGAGCCUGCGUAAGAUUAGCUUGUUGGUGAGGUGAAGGCUCACCAAGGCGACGAUCUUUAGCGGGUCUGAGAGGACGAUCCGCCACAUUGGGACUGAGACACGGCCCAGACUCC
rnacentral:rRNA from 2 species